AUGCAGGCAUUUGUCGGUCUACUUGUUUCGGACGUGAUACCUAUAUACAUGAUCAUACCUAGAUAUUCUUAUAACUAUGCUCAAUUCUGUCAAUUGCUCAACAGUAAUUUGUUCACCCACCGUAGAAUACUUAUGCUCUUGAGAGAAGCCACUAGUGAAACCUAUGGCCCCCGGGUCUAUCUUUAUCAUAUUGAUCUCCUACUACUUAGUUAUUUCCUUUGCUAUUUACUUUGCCUUUAUUUUACUUUGCAUCUUUAUCAUAAAAAUACCAAAAAUAUUAUCUUAUCAUAUCUAUCGGAUCUCACUCUCGUAAGUGGCCCUAUAGGGAUUGACAACCCCUAUUUGCGUUGGUUGCGAGGAUUUUUUUUUUGCAGGUGCGAGGGACUCGCGCGUAGCCUCCUAUUGGAUUGA
rnacentral:rRNA from 1 species